rnacentral:rRNA from 1 species
CUUAGAGUUUGAUCCUGGCUCAGGAUGAACGCUAGCUACAGGCUUAACACAUGCAAGUCGAGGGGCAGCAUGGUCUUAGCUUGCUAAGGCCGAUGGCGACCGGCGCACGGGUGAGUAACACGUAUCCAACCUGCCGUCUACUCUUGGACAGCCUUCUGAAAGGAAGAUUAAUACAAGAAGGCAUCAUGAGUCCGCAUGUUCACAUGAUUAAAGGUAUUCCGGUAGACGAUGGGGAUGCGUUCCAUUAGGUAGUAGGCGGGGUAACGGCCCACCUAGCCAACGAUGGAUAGGGGUUCUGAGAGGAAGGUCCCCCACAUUGGAACUGAGACACGGUCCAAACUCCUACGGGAGGCAGCAGUGAGGAAUAUUGGUCAAUGGACGAGAGUCUGAACCAGCCAAGUAGCGUGAAGGAUGAGGGUCCUACGGAUUGUAAACUUCUUUUAUAAGGGAAUAAACCCUCCCACGUGUGGGAGCUUGUAUGUACCUUAUGAAUAAGCAUCGGCUAACUCCGUGCCAGCAGCCGCGGUAAUACGGAGGAUGCGAGCGUUAUCCGGAUUUAUUGGGUUUAAAGGGAGCGUAGAUGGAUGUUUAAGUCAGUUGUGAAAGUUUGCGGCUCAACCGUAAAAUUGCAGUUGAUACUGGAUAUCUUGAGUGCAGUUGAGGCAGGCGGAAUUCGUGGUGUAGCGGUGAAAUGCUUAGAUAUCACGAAGAACUCCGAUUGCGAAGGCAGCCUGCUAAGCUGCAACUGACAUUGAGGCUCGAAAGUGUGGGUAUCAAACAGGAUUAGAUACCCUGGUAGUCCACACGGUAAACGAUGAAUACUCGCUGUUUGCGAUAUACAGCAAGCGGCCAAGCGAAAGCGUUAAGUAUUCCACCUGGGGAGUACGCCGGCAACGGUGAAACUCAAAGGAAUUGA